AACAGCAGCUAUAUCCCCCUGCAGCUUCCAGCUGGCAGCCCCACUGGAGCUCAGCAGGUGUGAGCCUGGCCAGUACCUGGAUGGGAGACCUCCUGGGAAAAACUGAGGUUGCUGGUG
rnacentral:rRNA from 1 species